rfam:Equus caballus chromosome 22, whole genome shotgun sequence.
CAAGUGAUUCAGGGUUUUCAGAUUCUGGUGGACAAUCG